CAUCAAACAUUACCAGCUGGUUAUCUUAUCAAGUAUUUUCCUGCCAAGGAGAGCCAGCAUGUUUCUUGGCUUACUUGCACUGGGUCUUCUAAGGUGUUACCUGUUCUUUUCACUUCUCCCAGAAAUUAUCCACAAGUACAGUCCAGUGGUGAGCAGUGAUGGCAGGAGGCGGUGUGGGAACAUUGUUGUGGUGGCUGCUGUUAACUGGUACUAUCAUGGUGACUCUUGUCUGCUUGGCCGAGGUCGGUCAGGCUGCUCCACUCAUCCUGACCAAGAAGUACAGUGAAGAUACGCGCUGCAUACUGUGCGGACCUGGAGGUUGUCCUACCUGCUACCUGCCUGACGCUAAUGGUGUUUGUCGACCCAUCUUUGGCUGCCAGUCUUACCAUGUAGGUUCCUUGACGCUGGUGAGCGGUUCUUCAGCUAAUGAACUGGACCUGAACCCAGUUUCUCCGGAUCGAACCUAAUUGUCUGGCAUUUUCCCAGGCGCUGUAUAACCCAUAUGAAUUUAGCGUUUCUUCCCUGAACGUAAUAACAAUUUGGCUGACAGACAUAAAGUAUGGCUCAUUUGCAUUAUCUGUGCAUUUGUUUCCUGCUAUUUUUAUAAACACCUACAUAUCAGUUAUAUUUUUGUUUGCGAGUUCGGAGAACUCGGCAGUUUUCUUAUUUUAUUUUCAUACAGGCAACGUAUGCAAACCCAGGCACACGUUCAUUUCUUGUGCAAAUUAUUAUAAUUAGGAGAUAUUAGCCACACCCAUAAACUUUUUCGAGAGGAAGAUGGUAUUUAAUUCAUUGCGCGCCGAAUACAUCAGCACUACCAGACAGACAUUCCACUAAUAAACUGUUCAUGAACAAAUUAGGCAGCAUUAAUGUUUACCAAGUGUAAAUUAUGUGAAUUAACGUUUAAUGGCAUAAUUCACAAGUAGUGUGAUCAAGACAGUAUGGAAUGCUUCUUGCAUCAACAAUAUAACCUAACCUUAGUUACCCAACUAACCUAACUUGUUUUAGUUUGCUCCCCCCCCCAUCCUUAAAAAAAAUGUCUAUGUAAAGCCUAGUUAAUGUUAUGCACUGUAAACUAUAAAUCAUCAUCCAAUUCCUCUGAGCAGCUAAAGCAAAUAUUGAUUUACAUUAAUAACAUAUUGCUUACUUGAUCUGGAUAUGUAAAUACAAUAUGAUGUUACAUGGGAAGAUGCUUAAUGCUGGUUUGGAUUUACUGAUUAAAUUACACAAUUAAAGGUCUAUAUUUGUUUUUGUCAAUAUUUUGUUCAUAUAAAUAUUUGCCGUGCUUGUUGUUUGCCAUAGGAACGAAACUGGAAAAUAAACUUAAGCCAUGAGGAAA